rnacentral:tRNA from 3 species
ACGCCGGAUUGCAUGGCCUUGCCCGCCAUCUGCGCGACGGCAGGUGUCGCAAACGAGGCAUCGGGCUGUGCCGACUCGACCUCAACGUA